rnacentral:rRNA from 1 species
GAUGAACGCUGGCGGCGUGCCUAAUACAUGCAAGUCGAGCGAAUGGAUUAAGAGCUUGCUCUUAUGAAGUUAGCGGCGGACGGGUGAGUAACACGUGGGUAACCUGCCCAAAGACUGGGAUAACUCCGGGAAACCGGGGCUAAUACCGGAUAACAUUUUGAACCGCAUGGUUCGAAAUUGAAAGGCGGCUUCGGCUGUCACUUAUGGAUGGACCCGCGUCGCAUUAGCUAGUUGGUGAGGUAACGGUGAACCAAGGCAACGAUGCGUAGCCGACGUGAGAGGGUGAUCGGCCACACUGGGACUGAGACACGGCCCAGACUCCUACGGGAGGCAGCAGGAGGGAAUCUUCCGCAAUGGACGAAAGUCUGACGGAGCAACGCCGCGUGAGUGAUGAAGGCUUUCGGGUCGUAAAACUCUGUUGUUAGGGAAGAACAAGUGCUAGUUGAAUAAGCUGGCACCUUGACGGUACCUAACCAGAAAGCCACGGCUAACUACGUGCCAGCAGCCGCGGUAA